rnacentral:tRNA from 2 species
GCGCGCUUAGCUCAGUGGUAGAGCAUCACCUUGACACGGUGGGGGUCGGAGGUUCGAAACCUCCAGCGCGCACCA